GACCUCGCCCCAUGGCGAAACAUACACAUAGUUCAUCUAGCUGGUAGAUGAUGACAAUAGGGUCAUCCGGUCGAAGGUUAUAGGAUAAAAAAUAGCAGACAA
ncrna:unclassified sequences RT-17 RNA